UCCGUAGGUGAACCUGCGGAAGGAUCAUUAUUGAAUUCAAAUCAUCUGUGGCUUCGGUCCGGAUGUGCCAACAGGUAACACUGUUGGUAAUUCUAUCCAUAACACCUGUGAACUGUUGGAUGCUUGCAUCCACUUUUAUACUAAACAUUAUUGUAACAAAUGUAGUCUUAUUAUAACUAAUAAAACUUUUAACAACGGAUCUCUUGGCUCUCGCAUCGAUGAAGAACGCAGCGAAAUGCGAUAAGUAAUGUGAAUUGCAGAAUUCAGUGAAUCAUCGAAUCUUUGAACGCACCUUGCGCUCCUUGGUAUUCCGAGGAGCAUGCCUGUUUGAGUGUCAUGAAACUCUCAAACCCAAGUUUUGGAUUUCGAUCCAUGCUUGAGUUUGGAUUUGGAUGUUUGCCGGUGAUAAGCCGACUCAUCUUAAAAGUAUUAGCUAGAUCUGUCUCUAUGACUGGUUUGACUUGGCAUAAUAAGUAUUUUGCUGAGGACAUCUUCGGAUGGCCAGGACCUAGACUAUUGUCUGCUAACUAAACCAUCACUUUAAGUGCAUCUUCGGAUGUUACUCAUUGUGUAACUUUGACAUCUGGCCUCAAAUCAGGUAGGACUACCCGCUGAACUUAAGCAUAUCAAUAAGCGGAGGA
rnacentral:rRNA from 2 species